CCUUUCUGAUGCAACAGCUUGAAAUAAAACGUGUAAUGUAUCUAUAAAUAAAACGGUAGGUAUUUAAAAGGAGUAGGUAACGGUAUCCAGGUAGUAGUAUUUGUACAUGUAUGACUGCUGAGUACAUUAUGAUUAACAUGUAAAUUAUACGUGUACAUUUAUACUUCGACGGUGGGAAAAUCAUGUAUUCUGUCUGUUUGUAAAUGGAAACACUCCACAUGUUUUGAGAAUUAAAUAGGCCGAUAGAAUGAGCCUAAGGAAUAUUCAAAUGGAACUGUAAAGAAAAAUCAAGAACUGGACAAAGGAAGCCAUUCUUUAGCAUUAAACAUGCAAUCAAUAGCUUGCAUAAAAGGAAAAAAAGAGUGAUUGAAAAAGCAAAUUAAACAAGAAGCCAUGAGGAGAAAAAGGAAAAAGAAGCUGCAGAAAAGAAUGUGAAAAAAAGAAUUGAGGUCGCUUAUAUCCGACCAUAAUUUGCUAAAAUGGCAGGAGUUCGAUCCUGCCAGAAAACCAACCGCAAAAAUGGCGACUCCAGUGUUGAAGGCGUAUGCCCGGGCUUUGUUGCCCGGGGUAACGUCCUUCUCCCACCUUGCCCGAGACGGUCGUUUCACUUUGGCCUCAAAGAUAAGAAACCUCCACGCUGUGGCAUUACUUCGUAUUUUAGAUGAUCUCGAGAUUGCCAUAGAAACGGUGAGAUAUUCCGAGAAGACCGAAAGAAAGGAUGAGCUGCCGACAACGUACUGUAAAAAUUUGUUUUUAAAGGACAGAAAGGGGGUGUUUUAUCUGAUUGUUUAUAAAGAGGAUUCUGUUUUAGAUUUAAAAGUUCUGAAGAAACUAGUUAAUGCUUACCGCAAUUUCUCUUUCGCAAGUCAUAGAGAACUGAAAAAUAUCAUGAAAGUGAAUGUUGGCACUCCGUUUUCCUUGUUUUUUAAAUCAACUGAAAAUGUGAGGGUAGUUUUUGCCCAAAGUCUCGCGCAAGAAACUUCUCUGAACUUUCAUCCACUUGAUGGACGAUUCACAACCCGGAUUUCCUAUGAUGACCUCGAAACAUUUAUGAAAGCUAUUGGCAGAGAUUUCAUGUUAAUAAAUAUUUAGAACAA